CGAACGGGUGAGUAAUGCGUGACCAACCUGCCCCAUGCUCCAGAAUAGCUCUUGGAAACGGGUGGUAAUGCUGGAUGCUCCAACUUGACGCAUGUCUUGUUGGGAAAGUGUUUAGUGGCAUGGGAUGGGGUCGCGUCCUAUCAGCUUGUAGGCGGGGUAAUGGCCCACCUAGGAUUCGACGGGUAGCCGGCCUGAGAGGGCGGACGGCCACAUUGGGACUGAGAUACGGCCCAGACUCCUACGGGAGGCAGCAGGU
rnacentral:rRNA from 1 species